rnacentral:tRNA from 1 species
GUCAGUCUGACAGACAAUGUUUUAGAUUUAGGAUCUACUUAUGUGGGUGAUAGUCCCAUGGCUGAUU